GAGGAUUUAGCUCAGUGGUAGAGCGCUUGCCUAGCAAGCGCAAGGCCCUGGGUUCGGUCCCCAGCUCG
rnacentral:tRNA from 1 species